GAUCAUGGCUCAGAACGAACGCUGGCGGCAUGCUUAACACAUGUAAGUCGAACGAGACCUUCGGGUCUAGUGGCGCACGGGUGCGUAACGCGUGGGAAUCUGCCCUUUGCUACGGAAUAACUCAGAGAAAUUUGUGCUAAUACCGUAUAAUGUCGUAAGACCAAAGAUUUAUCGGCAAAGGAUGAGCCCGCGUAAGAUUAGCUUGUUGGUGAGGUAAAGGCUCACCAAGGCGACGAUCUUUAGCUGGUCUGAGAGGAUGAUCAGCCACACUGGGACUGAGACACGGCCCAGACUCCUACGGGAGGCAGCAGUGGGGAAUAUUGGACAAUGGGCGAAAGCCUGAUCCAGCAAUGCCGCGUGAGUGAUGAAGGCCUUAGGGUUGUAAAGCUCUUUUACCAGGGAUGAUAAUGACAGUACCUGGAGAAUAAGCUCCGGCUAACUCCGUG
rnacentral:rRNA from 1 species